UGCCACCUCUGGGUUUUCUUCAGUCUCACUGGAUCAUCUGGAUGUUGUGUUUAUUUCAGGUCCAACACUUCCUGUUGCUGACUGUCACUUCCUGUGAGGAGAAAGAGCUUUGGUCACUACUUCGAUGUAAAUCAAUGUGGACAAAGACUGACAUUCAGGUUAGCUGCUGGCCUGUCAGCCCAGGGGAAGCUGUGCGGAGUGGAAGUGGCUAAGUUAACUGCUGGGUUCCUCAGAUUCAUCAGUCAAUCAAUGAAGCAAUCAGACAAAUGUAAACAAGCAUUUACUAUGGGGGCAAACAGAGUGAGGGGGCGUGGCUUAAAACCAAAGUCAAGCAACCUGGGGGCGAUCAAGAAGUUUCAUACUUGACGUCCAUCUUUGUCUACAGUCUGUGUAAAGGUGGGGUUCACAGCGUCAUCACUUGUCCCACACAGCGACUGUCAGACUGACUUCAUCACACGGAAGAGGAGGAGGAGGAGGCACCCCUCUUAGCAACAGAACUAAAAAUACUGCCUGUUUACAGUGUGUGUGUGUGUUUGUGCAUAUCGUUAAAAUAUCAUGACAACCAAAAGCUUUUAGUUCAGAGAGUUUAAAUAUUUCAAAGAAGCAGAAACACGAGAAGACGGCACACACACACACACACACACACACACACACACACACACACAGAGCUGAAUGACACUCUUGCUGCGAGUCAGACUGAUGGUGCGUUCCAGAUUAACAACCCCACCUCAGCUUUCCCCUCCAACCCCGGCUUAACAUUCCAAGAUGGCGGCAGUGACGGUAAACAGCUGUUUCUAAAUUUUUUCCUUAUUUGAGCUGAUGGAGUAACAAAGAAGCUGAUGGUAUACAAAUGUAGCACAGUUAACAGA